rnacentral:rRNA from 1 species
AGUGAACGCUGGCGGCGUGCUUGACACAUGCAAGUCGAACGAAGUAUCUUCGGAUACUUAGUGGCGGACGGGUGAGUAAUACAUGGGAAUCUGCCCUAUAGUGGGGGAUAACCACUGGAAACAGUGGCUAAUACCGCAUAAUGCCGAGAGGCCAAAGCUUUAGCGCUAUAGGAUGAGCCCAUGCAAGAUUAGCUAGUUGGAGAGGUAAAUGCUUAACAAGGCUAUGAUCUUUAGUUGGUCUGAGAGGAUGAUCAGCCACACUGGGACUGAGACACGGCCCAGACUCCUACGGGAGGCAGCAGUGGGGAAUUUUCCG